rnacentral:rRNA from 1 species
AUUGAACGCUGGCGGCAUGCCUAACACAUGCAAGUCGAGCGGAUGAAGGGAGCUUGCUCCUGGAUUCAGCGGCGGACGGGUGAGUAAUGCCUAGGAAUCUGCCUGGUAGUGGGGGAUAACGUCCGGAAACGGGCGCUAAUACCGCAUACGACCUGAGGGAGAAAGUGGGGGAUCUUCGGACCUCACGCUAUCAGAUGAGCCUAGGUCGGAUUAGCUAGUUGGUGGGGUAAAGGCCUACCAAGGCGACGUUCCGUAACUGGUCUGAGAGGAUGAUCAGUCACACUGGAACUGAGACACGGUCCAGACUCCUACGGGAGGCAGCAGUGGGGAAUAUUGGACAAUGGGCGAAAGCCUGAUCCAGCCAUGCCGGGUGUGGGAAGAAGGUCUUCGGAUUGUAAAGCACUUUAAGUUGGGAGGAAGGGCAGUAGGUUAAUACCUUGCUGUUUUGACGUUACCAACAGAAUAAGCAACGGCUAACUUCGUG